UACGGGGGGGGCAAGCGUUGUUCGGAAUUACUGGGCGUAAAGGGCCAGUAGGCGGCCAACUAAGUCGGAUGUGAAAUCCCCAGGCUUAACCUGGGAACUGCAUCCGAUACUGGAUGGCUUGAAUUCGGGAGAGGGAUGCAGAAUUCCAGGUGUAGCGGUGAAAUGCGUAGAUAUCUGGAGGAAUACCGGUGGCGAAGGCGGCAUCCUGGACCGACAUUGACGCUGAUGAGCGAAAGCUAGGGGAGCAAACGGG
rnacentral:rRNA from 1 species